GGAGAGAGUAAUCACAGAACUGCCGUCAAAGGGUAGUUGGAAGAUUCAGUGUGGCGUGGAAGGUGCUUCGUCGGUGCCCACCGCUGCUGGAGUUGCUUGAAUCUGUACCGUUAAUUCUCCCUCCCUAGGCGAGACUCCCGACUGCGGCCCAUGGGCCUCUGAGGAGGCGUUUUAAGUCUGCCCAGCUCCCCACGUGCUGUGCUUCCACUCAAUGGGAAGGGAACCCAGGCCUUGUGCAGCCAUCAGCCACGGCCUCUCUACAGCACCAGGAUGGAAGUCAAAGGUCAGCUGAUCAGCUCGCCCACUUUCAAUGCCUCAGCUGCCCUGUUCGGAGAGGCUGCCCCCCAGGUGAAGUCAGAGCGUUUGCGGGGGCUGCUCGACCGGCAGCGGGCCCUGCAGGA
rnacentral:lncRNA from 1 species